rnacentral:rRNA from 1 species
UACGAAGGGGGCUAGCGUUGCUCGGAAUCACUGGGCGUAAAGGGUGCGUAGGCGGGUCUUUAAGUCAGGGGUGAAAUCCUGGAGCUCAACUCCAGAACUGCCUUUGAUACUGAAGAUCUUGAGUUCGGGAGAGGUGAGUGGAACUGCGAGUGUAGAGGUGAAAUUCGUAGAUAUUCGCAAGAACACCAGUGGCGAAGGCGGCUCACUGGCCCGAUACUGACGCUG